UCAUCAGAAUCUCUAGAAAGGAAAAUAAUAAGCAGUUGGUGGUUGGUGUGCUCUUCCUGCCUCUUUUCCAUCUGUGCUGCAAAACAUCUGAGUCUCUUCACACAGAAGGUCCCACCUUUCUGAGCAGUGGACAGCUUAACCAUGAAGGCCAUCCUGCUUGUUGCUCUUGCUCUAUUGAUGAGUCUGGCUGUGGCUGACAAACUUCAGGAGCCUGUGACAACAGCAAAAACAAUCACCCCCAAAUCAAACAGCCAGGCCAUGCUCUUUGGUGGCCCAGUUUCCCUUCUGCUACCACUCAUGCUGGUUGCAAUUUAUCUCCUUCGAGUGAACUAAUCCUGAAGGCUUUGAGAGUUUUGCAUGGGGAACCAUGUUACCUUGCCCAGCUCCAGGGGAAUCCUUCCUCUGCAUCGCUAGCAGCCUGACAACCCAGCCAGUAACUCUGCUCUUGCUGCCAUCAGCCUGAGAAUGCUGUGCCAUGCCCCAAUAUCCACAGUCCAAGGCUUUGGACUCAGUCUUCACCACAUAGCCAAAUAACCUGCAAAAUUCAAGCAAAACCUGGAGGACUGUCUGCCAUAGAUACCAAAUGCACAAGUUCACACUGAGAAGGUCUCUGUACCGGGUGAUAUUCAGAGAAGGCGUAUGCAAAAGCACAGUUACCACAUGGAAGAUUGAGAAUGAACUGUUGCAAAGAGCUUUUGGUGCGUGAGACUCACCACAGGAUGGUGCCUCCUCAUAUCCAUGAAUUCGCAAGAAGCACAACCCUGCCAAAAGACUUUCUUGGGCAGGCUGUCAUGGAACAGGCAGGAGAUGUGCAUCAACACCGUAACCUGCUGGAACCACUCCUGUUCAUUUCAGUUAUUACAGCUUCUUGAGCCAUCCUGGCUGAGACCUGUAUCCCUUCAUGGGAACCCCCGAAUUCAAAGUCAACUCUCUCACCUUGCCUUGAUGAGUAACUGCACUCUUCUGUUUGUGCAAAUGUGCCAUGAACGCUGAUGCUGAGGGAAGUCUUUUCCUGGCUAAGGGACCAUUUGCAAAAACACGCCCAUGGCAAGAGCCUCACCUUCAAGAAGGUCGCUCCUGAGCCAUGGCAUUUUAGGUGUCAGUCAAUGUCACGUCUGUGGAACAGAGCUGAAAAUGAUGCCAGGGAAAAGUGGUACUUGUAAAUGCGAUUCUGUUUUUUUCCAUAAUCUCCAUGCAGCUUGGUUCCCUGAAUGAAAUUAAAGCUUCUUGGCUGGCAAA